rnacentral:rRNA from 1 species
UGAGGAAUAUUGCGCAAUGGAGGAAACUCUGACGCAGCGACGCCGCGUGGGCGAAGAAGGUCUUCGGAUCGUAAAGCCCUUUUCUAUGUGACGAGACAAGGACGGUAGCAUAGGAAUAAGUCUCGGCUAACUACGUGCCAGCAGCCGCGGUAAAACGUAGGAGGCGAGCGUUAUCCGGAGUUACUGGGCGUAAAGCGCGUGUAGGCGGCUGUGCAGGUCGGAUGUGAAAGCUCCCAGGCUAAACCGGGAGAGGUCAUUCGAAACCGCAUAGCUAGAGGGCAUCAGAGGAGUGUGGAAUUCCGGGUGUAGUGGUGAAAUGCGCAGAUAUCCGGAGGAACACCAGUGGCGAAGGCGACACUCUGGGGUGCCACUGACGCUGAGACGCGAAAGCAUGGGUAGCGAACG